AUGACUAGACCUGAUGACAUUAAUAUCCCCGAUGGCAAGUUCUACCUAGGAGAUGCUGGCUAUGCAUGUCGGCCAGGUGUUCUUCCACCCUUGAGGAAAACCAGGUGCCAUCUGAAUGAGUUCUUUGGUAGGAACUAUCCUAGGACUCCAUAGGAAUUGUUUAAUACCAUCAACUCUAGCCUUCGAGUUAUGGUUGAGAGUGCAUUUGGAGCUCUGAAGAAUAGGUUUAAGAUCCUGGAUCAGAAUCCACCGCACACUUUCCCCAUUCAGAUUAAGUUUGUUCUUACUUGUUGCAUUCUGUAUAACUGGACCCUAUAAUGGGGUUGUGCUGAACUGGUGUCGGGGGAGGAAGAGGUGAUGCCUGACGAUGUUGUCAGCUCCGGCCAUGGCGUGGAGGCAUUUGACAACGAAGCUUGAAAGAGCAAAAGGAUGAAGUGGGCACAGUCAAUGUGGGAUAAAAGAGGCCAGACAAGGAUCUGA
rnacentral:rRNA from 1 species